rnacentral:lncRNA from 1 species
AUGCGGCUGCUGGUACCGGCGGCAGCCUCAGGGGUGGUGAUCCAAAACAGCCCUCAAAGGCGCCCUCCUAGAGGCUGGCGCUCGGAACCAUCACUCAUUUCUAAUCGGGACACACUGAUAAGCCAAAGGAAAGUCCAGCUUGCAACAUGCAUCCAGGGCCGUGCUCCCUCCUGUCCCGUUUCUUCAAGCCCCAAGGCUGGCUCCUCUGCCGAGCACAAACCCUGCAGGUGGAACUCAGGCACCCUGGGCCCUUCUGGACCUGCAUGGGACAUCUCUCGGGGGCCGGUGAGUUCAGACACCCCUGCUGUGCACGGAUCACAUGUGGAACCACCAGGGAGACGUUCCCACGGCGAAGGAGCUGCGCCGGGCCGGCUGCGUGAACAGUCCUGCGCUGCCAGGGCCUCCCUGUGUCCCCGCCAACGUGGGAAUCUGCAAGACCGAAUGUGAGUGAUGCAUCCGGCACCGAGGCCCUUGCUCUUAGGGACCCUCGUUAGACCUGGGAACUUGGGCUUCCGCUGAGUUUGGGAGCCACUCUUUGGAUAACUGUGGCUCUGUCUUCCAUGAGCCUUGACCACGACAUCCCAACAGUGUCUGCAUUUCGGCAGCUAGCAAACUAAGGCGGCCUCACGCCCUUUCCACCAGCCCCUGGCCUUCUCUAGUUUUAGAGACAGGACGCUUUACUCUUACGUUAUCGUGCUUUCUUCCAAAUUCACCUUUGUCAUGUUCCUUGCUGAGUCCCAUUGGGCCUAAACUUGUAGAAACUCAAAAGCCAGAAAAAGAUUCCUUUUUCUCUAAUCUAAAACUGUCCCCAUAGGCUAUGAAGAUGAGCACAUCCUAGUCUGGCUGAUGACAUGGGAAUGGGGGUGGGGGGGUGCAGUGAGUACAGGAAACUAUGGUAAGACAAAACUCAGUUCAUAUUUGAAAAUCUUAACCUGCCUCAUAGAGACAGGACAAGUAAGAUGCAAAGGGAUGAGAUGUUGUUUUAGGCUGCCAAAAGCAAUAUACCAGAAAUGGAAUGCCUUUUAAUAAUGGAAUUUAUUAGUUUACAAGCUUACAUUUUCAAGGCUGAGAAAAAUGUCCAAAUCAAGGCAUCAUCAGGCGAUGUUUUCUUCCCAAAGACCAGCUACCAGAGAUCCUGGAUGCCUCUGUCACAUGGCAAGGCACAUGGCAGCAUCUGCUGGCCUCGCCCUUUCCUUCCAGGUUUCGUGGCUUCCAGGGUGCUCUCCUCUUCUCUCUCUUUCAUCCCAUCUAUAAAGGACUUCAGAAAGAGGAUUAAGACCCACCCAGGGCCAGGCCUUACCUGAAGUCGCCUCAUCAAAAGGUUCAACCUAUAAUAGGCUUACACUUGCAGGAAUGGAUUAGCUGUAAGAACAUAAUUUCCUGGGGAGUACAUACAGCUUCAAACCAUUACACUCCACCCUCUGGACCCAAAAAAAGAAAACGACUUGUUUUUUUUCCAUCUGGAAAAUACAUUCAUUCCAUCACAGUAUCAUAAAAGUCUUAAACCAUUUCUGUAACAAUAUUAAGUAAAAGUUUCACCAAAAUCAGUUAUGGGUGUGGCCUAUCCUGGGGCACGAUUCCCUUCCAGCUGUGGGCCUAUGAAACCUAGUGAGCAAGCUCUCUUCUUCCAAUAUACAAAGAGGGACAGUCAUAGGAUCAGCAUUCCCAUUCCCAUAGGAAGAAACUGGAAGGAAAACAGGGGCUGUGGGUCCCAAACAGUUCCAAACCCUACAGAGCACAGCCCAUUAGGUUCCACGGUCUGAGACUCAUCCUUGGACCGAGGCUCUCCCCUCAAGGCCUGAUGGAGUGGCAGCGGUGCCCUAUCCAAGGGCUUGUGCAGCAGACACGCCUCCCCAAACACGAGCGUCAAGAUGCCUGCAUCUCCAGGUUUGGGGCAGUGUCCAGCCUCUCUGCAACCCCCCAGGCAGCUGAGAAACCUGGGGUGGCAGCUCUCUUCCUGAACAAUGGGCCAAGGUCCACCCUCUCCAAGCCCAGGGCAGGCUCACCCUUUCCACCAGGGCGGUCUCUCUCUUGGCCCGAGAUGUCUGCAGUCCAGACCUCAGCUCCCAUGGUUCUGCCCUUGACAUGACUUUUCCCUCAAUCUGUCCCUUUUCUGUCCCUUUUAGUCCAGGUUGGCAGUGGUUCCAUUCACACAGAUCUUAUAAGAAAAACUUGUCGGUUUCACACAUACUACACAGGGGUCCAAACCAUCAGGCAGGUGGACUUUCCCCAGCCUUUCCUGGAUAACUGCACCUCCAGUCCUGACUAGCUCUGAAAUGGCUGCCUGGGUCCCUGUUCCGUGAAGCUCUCGUGUGGAGCACUAUUCUCUGGGGACUCAUUUUCUGGAAGCUCAGUAUUUUCCAACCCAUCAGUUUCUGGUUUCUUUGUGCCCAGGAAUUCAGUUCUCAGUUGAUCCCUUUCCUGUCACAUUUUAUAUUCGCUGCAAGGAGAAACCAGGCAGCACUUUCCAUAUUUAGUUUGGAAAUCUCCUCAGCUCAAUAUCCAAGCUCAUCACUUUCAAAUUCAGUCUUCCAUCAGAUAUCAGGACACAAUUUUGCCAAGAUCUCUGCCACUUUAAUACAAGGGUCGCCUUUCUUCCAGUUUGCAGUGACACAUUCAUCAUUUCUGUCUAAGGCCUCAACAGAAGCACCUUUAGCUUCCACAUUUCUGCCAACAGGCUCUUCAGAGCAAUUGAGGGCUUCUCUGUCAAGCACCUCACAAUUCUUCCAGAAGCCACCCCUUACCCAUUUAUAGAGCUGUUCCACAUUUUUGGUAUUUGCAAUAGCAGUGCACCACUUUCCUGGUACCAAAAUCUCUUUUAGUUUGCUAGAUUACCAAAAUGCAGAUAGUGUGAAAUGGAUUGGCUUCUAACAGUGGGAAUUUAUUAAUUUACAAGCUUACAGGUUUGAGGCUGAGAAAAAUGUCCAAAUCAAGGCAUCAUUAGGUGAUGUUUUCUUCCUGAAGACCAGGUGCUGGUGAUCCUGGACAUUUCUCUCACAUGACAGGGCACAUGGCAGUGUCUGCUGGUCUCGUCCUUCUCUUCCAGGUUUCACCAACCUCUUCCUUCUGUGGCUUCCUCUCUCUCCCUCCCUCUCCCCCCUCUCUCUCUCCCUCUCCCUUUCUCUCUCUCCUUCUCUCUCUCCCUCUCUCCCUCUCUUUCCCUCUCCUUUUCUCUCUCUCCCUCUCUUUCUCUCUCUUUCCCCCCCCUCUCCUUCUCUCUCUCCCUCCCUUCCUCUCUCCCUUUCCCUCCCGCCCCUCCCUCUCUCUCUCUCUCCAUUCCAUUUAUAAAGGACUCCAGUUAGAGGAUUAAGAUCCACCCUGGGUCACAUCUUAUAUGUCAGCUCAGACCCACAGGAAUGGAUUAGCUCUAAGAACAUAUUUUUCUGGGGUACAUACAGCUUCAAACCAUCACAGAUGCUGACAGGUGUAUCCUGCUCCAACAAGUGCUGGCCCAGAAAGCAACCCUAGUCCACAGGAUGGUGUAUUCUCUUCCCCACCCUGAGGUGUCUGUCAGUGGGAGAGCUCCUGCCACUCCUCCCGCAGCAUCAGUGGGGAUGGGUAGGGACCCCCUGGCAUCAGAUAAACCAAGUAGGACAAAUUGCAGGGCAAAGGCUCUGAAAAUUAAAUUAAAGGAGUGGGUGGAAUUUCUGGCCUUCCCACAGGGCUCUAGAUAUCACGGAACAGGGAUAAGCUUUCCCUGAUCUGCUUUUUCUGAGUCCUGACCAACAGAAUCGGGAGCGUAGUAAAAUAAUUGCUGCUUUAUGCCACUAAGCCUGGGAUGGUUUUGUUACACAGCAAUAGCAACUGGGACAAAUACGGGCUGGUUGCUUUGCUUAUUUGAUGCUAUUUAAGUGUUUGUACUUUUGCCACAUAUAUAUCGAUACUGUAAGUUAUGCUGUUUGGCCUGUUUUAAAAUCUUCUCUUUUUGGUACUAUGUCAUACUGCGCAUAGGAUUUUUCAGUUAGUGUUAUUCAUUUAACAUGUUUCUAAGAUUAUGUUUAUACAUGUGACUCUAAAUUGCUAACUUUAUCCACAGCUUUGUGUAAAGAUUGCACAAUUUAUGGGAAACGGACUUUGGCCCAGUGGUUAGGGCGUCCGUCUACCACAUGGGAGGUCCGCGGUUCAAACCCCGGGCCUCCUUGACCCGUGUGGAGCUGGCCCAUGUGCAGCGCUGAUGCGCGCAAGGAGUGCCAUGCCACGCAAGGGUGUCCCCCGCGUGGGGGAGCCCCACGCGCAAGGAGUGCGCCCGUGAGGAGAGCCGCCCAGCGUGAAAAGAAAGAGCAGCCUGCCCAGGAAUGGCGCCGCCCACACUUCCCGUGCCGCUGACGACAACAGAAGCGGACAAAGAAACAAGACGCAGCAAAUAGACACCAAGAACAGACAACCAGGGGAGGGGGGGAAAUUAAAAAUAAAUAAAUAAAUCUUUAAAAAAAAAAAAAAAAAAAAAGAUUGCACAAUUUAUCAAUUCUUUCACUGAGGAACAUUUAAAUUAUUUCCAUUUUUUCCCUUCUGCAAACCUAAACUCUCCUGUGAAUGUCCACUUGUGCACCACGGUAAGGGUUUUGCAGGGCAUACACCUUCAAGUAGAAUUGCAAGAAUUUUAAGAUGCAAGCUAUCGAAACCUUCAACUUUACUACUUACUGCAGGAUUGCUCAACAAAGUGGUUGCAACAAUUUACAUUUAUCCCAGUGAUGAUUAAGAGCUACCAACCCCCC